GACGAACGCUGGCGGCGUGCUUAACACAUGCAAGUCGUACGGUAAGGCCCUUUCGGGGGUACACGAGUGGCGAACGGGUGAGUAACACGUGAGUAACCUGCCCACAACUUUGGGAUAACGCUAGGAAACUGGUGCUAAUACUGGAUAUGUGCUCCUGCUGCAUGGUGGGGGUUGGAAAGCUCCGGCGGUUGUGGAUGGACUCGCGGCCUAUCAGCUUGUUGGUGGGGUAGUGGCCUACCAAGGCGGCGACGGGUAGCCGGCCUGAGAGGGCGACCGGCCACAUUGGGACUGAGAUACGGCCCAGACUCCUACGGGAGGCAGCAGUGGGGAAUAUUGCACAAUGGGCGCAAGCCUGAUGCAGCAACGCCGCGUGCGGGAUGACGGCCUUCGGGUUGUAAACCGCUUUCAGCAGGGACGAAGCUUUUUGUGACGGUACCUGCAGAAGAAGCACCGGCUAACUACGUG
rnacentral:rRNA from 1 species